AGAGAGAGAGGGAGGGGGAGGGAGAGAGAAGCGGGAGGGAGAGGGGGAGGGGAAGGAGAAGAGACUGGAGCCUUCACUUCUCCCUGCUUCCUGCCUGUGGGCACCAUGUGAACAGAUACUUCUACUCCUGUUGCCUUCUCCCUCCGUGAUGGACGACAGCCUCACACCAUGAGCCAAUAGCAGCCCUUUCUUCCUUAAAUUGCUUUGUGAAGUAUUUGCCACAACAUCAAGGAAAGCGGUUAAGAUGGCACUUUAUCAAGAAAGCUGAAUUUUCUACAUCCUUAUGGGAAAUCUAAAUCUGGGCACAGGAGGAAACAGCAAGAGCAUGAGGGAACAGCUAGGCUCUGAAGUACAUUCCUCUUCAUGGACCCUGUUACCUAUUCUGGAAAGGCACUGGCCAGAGACAGGACCAUUGGCUAGAACUGGACUGCACAGGAUCUGUCCCAGGUUUAAGGGAAGAAGAUGGACAUGAGCGGAGUGGAAGAAGAAAAAUAACCAAGCAAACAAAGCAUCGCAAGCUACUUCUGUGCAAGGAGAUUUUAAGAACAAGUCAUGGCAUUACAAAUGCAAAGGAACGACUUUGGAACCACAGGACUCUGUCAGCUGUCCUGGAACUCUGCACUGGAUGUACAAUUAACAUGUAAAACACACACCACAGCUUUCCUCCCUGACUGACAGCAGAAUUUUCUUCAGCUCAGAAAAAUAAGAUCUGCUGUUUCUUGGCCACUGUGAGGCACUAUCACUGACCACAGGGGCAUGCUGGCUGUCAUGGCGAAGGCAUCUGUCUGCUCAGUGUUUCCUCUCUGUGCCUCUCAAACAAACGUCUGCCUGGCAGCUGACUGUGGUGUGCUCUCCACGGUGUGCCCCACAGGCUGCUGGUACCGACUGAGAAUAUUCUAUGGGGGGGGUGGUGUCUGAGGAUAUGCUGGUGUGUCAGGAAGAAAUCACAGGACAUUUGGAAACCUAAUAAUAAAUCUGAAAAGGCAAAAACUUUGAACAGUAAAACAAAUAAAACUUGGGGUUUAUUUU